rnacentral:rRNA from 1 species
GACGAACGCUGGCGGCGUGCUUAACACAUGCAAGUCGAACGGAAAGGCCCUGCUUGCAGGGUACUCGAGUGGCGAACGGGUGAGUAACACGUGGGUGAUCUGCCCUGCACUUCGGGAUAAGCCUGGGAAACUGGGUCUAAUACCGGAUAGGAGCCAUUUUUAGUGUGAUGGUUGGAAAGUUUUUUCGGUGUAGGAUGAGCUCGCGGCCUAUCAGCUUGUUGGUGGGGUAAUGGCCUACCAAGGCGGCGACGGGUAGCCGGCCUGAGAGGGUGGACGGCCACAUUGGGACUGAGAUACGGCCCAGACUCCUACGGGAGGCAGCAGUGGGGAAGAUUGCUCAAUGGGCGCAAGCCUGAUGCAGCGACGCCGCGUGGGGGAUGACGGCCUUCGGGUUGUAAACUCCUUUCGCUAGGGACGAAGCUUUUUGUGACGGUACCUAGAUAAGAAGCACCGGCUAACUACGUG